UGCCCACCAACUCCUAUCCCUACCUCCACGCGGUACCGGCCGGAAACUAUGAGCAACCUUAGGGAAGAUCGGGUAACCAACCCCUGUGGGAACUUUGGUCAUAGGCUGACAGGGAAGG
rfam:Aedes albopictus isolate Foshan contig56354, whole genome shotgun sequence.